GACGAACGCUGGCGGCGCGCCUAACACAUGCAAGUCGAACGAGCGAGAGAGAGCUUGCUUUCUCGAGCGAGUGGCGAACGGGUGAGUAACGCGUGAGGAACCUGCCUCAAAGAGGGGGACAACAGUUGGAAACGACUGCUAAUACCGCAUAAGCCCACGGCUCGGCAUCGAGCAGGGGGAAAAGGAGCAAUCCGCUUUGAGAUGGCCUCGCGUCCGAUUAGCUAGUUGGUGAGGUAACGGCCCACCAAGGCGACGAUCGGUAGCCGGACUGAGAGGUUGAACGGCCACAUUGGGACUGAGACACGGCCCAGACUCCUACGGGAGGCAGCAGUGGGGAAUAUUGCACAAUGGGGGAUACCCUGAUGCAGCGACGCCGCGUGGAGGAAGAAGGUCUUCGGAUUGUAAACUCCUGUUGUUGGGGAAGAUAAUGACGGUACCCAACAAGGAAGUGACGGCUAACUACGUG
rnacentral:rRNA from 1 species